rnacentral:snoRNA from 1 species
CACUGUUCAUGAUGAUGGUUUUAUAAAACAAUGGGAAUCUCUCUGAAUUAGACUGAAAGACAUCUGUGUACUGAAACAGUG